AGAAAAAACAGAAAUUUCCUUAGUUGAGUGCAUCAAGAUAUGCGCCGGGCUUUACUUGCAAGAUCCGCAACAGUUUCAAAAAGAAAUAGAAGAACAAAAAGCGAAGAAUCUUUUCCCAUCUACACUUCCAUGAAACACCGUUUCCUCAUAAUCCAAAAAUUAGAGGAACGCGUCACAGAAAAAUAUUAGACAGUCGAUAUUACGUAGAUACAUGUAAGCGGACAAACACUAUGACGAUGACUUUGAGAACAUGAAAUAAAUCAUGAUAAUGCCAGUCCAUUUAAAGUCUCAUUUUCUUUUUUCUACCCUGCAGUAGCACUAUUAAAACAGCCCCGCUGGAAAGUCCACACCAGACAGCAAUUACCAUGAG